rnacentral:rRNA from 1 species
UAAGAUCCCUCAAAGAUGAUGAGGUUAAUAGGUUCGAGGUGGAAGCAUGGUGACAUGUGGAGCUGACGAAUACUAAUCGAUCGAAGACUUAAUCAAA